rnacentral:rRNA from 1 species
AGUGAACGCUGGCGGUAGGCCUAACACAUGCAAGUCGAACGGCAGCACAGUAAGAGCUUGCUCUUACGGGUGGCGAGUGGCGGACGGGUGAGGAAUACAUCGGAAUCUACUUUUUCGUGGGGGAUAACGUAGGGAAACUUACGCUAAUACCGCAUACGACCUACGGGUGAAAGCAGGGGAUCUUCGGACCUUGCGCGAUUGAAUGAGCCGAUGUCGGAUUAGCUAGUUGGCGGGGUAAAGGCCCACCAAGGCGACGAUCCGUAGCUGGUCUGAGAGAAUGGUCGGCCACACGGGAAGUGGGACGCGGACCAGACUACUACGGGAGGCAGCAGUGGGGAAUAUUAGACAAUGGGCGCAAGCCUGAUCCAGCCAUACCGCGUGGGUGAAGAAGGCCUUCGGGUUGUAAAGCCCUUUUGUUGGGAAAGAAAAGCAGCAGGUUAAUACCCCGCUGUUCUGACGGUACCCAAAGAAUAAGCACCGGCUAACUUCGUG